rnacentral:lncRNA from 1 species
AUGAUGUCAAAGGAGGUCCUUUCCUUUCCGUUGAGGGAGACGAUGUCGACAACAUUACGUUCCUUUCCGUUGAGGGCGACGAUGUCAAUGACGUUCUUCUCUUGUCCGUACAUAUUGCUUCUGACUUUGUACGCUUCUAACAAGCUUAUUCUACUCAAACCACUCCAAACCCCAAACUCCAAAAUGUACGGACAAGAGAAGAACGUCAUUGACAUCGUCGCCCUCAACGGCAAAGAGCGUAACGCCAUGGACAUCGUCGCCUUAAACGGCAAAGAACGCAACACCGUUGACAUCGUCGCCCUCAACGGAAAGGAACGUAACGUUGUCGACAUCGUCUCCCUCAAUGGAAAGGAACGCGUUUGUUUUCGACGUCAUCGCCCUCAACGGAAAGGAAAGGACUUCCUUCGACAUCAUCUCCCUGUAAAUUGCUACCCCCCCUUGUAAGUAUACAGAUUAUUUUUCCGCUGAUACAAACAAGAGGGCAUACGGUUGAGAAUGGCAGUUUGAGUCCCUAUCUUCACUUUUCUCGCACUUACAAUUUCACUUUAAAAUUAGUUGCAGUACUUUUAUUACGUAUGGGCUGAUGCCAAAAGCGUAGCUCUAUACACCUAAUUUUUUUAGAAUUAUUUUAGUGUUGCCAGCCAUGACGUAACUCAAUUUAAGAUGGUCAGUAAUCGAUAGAACAGCUGCAUUACACAAUUAUUUUUGAUUACUUUGGAUAAUUAAUUUUAAGUUGAUCCAACUAUUGAUUGGACUAAAUUUUGAAAUUAGAAAUUAAACUGAUCCAUUUGUAAAAGCACACAUUAACAUUGGAAACUAAUGGCAAUUACGUUUUUUUCUGUAGUGUGCUGAAAAUUGUAGUCCCUAAUUGCAAAAUGCGGUUCAGUUGGAUUAUGUAUUAUAUGAUUGAAAAAUUCUGUGGCUGGCUCAUUUCAGAGCAAAAUAUGUGUAACUAGUUUUCCUAUGCCGCCGUGCUAAGGAAGAAAGCCGUAUGAGCCUUCAGAUGUUGCCAAAUUUUCUUCGCUAAAAACCAAAUUGACAGGGAAAAUUGUGAAUAUGUAUUUCUUACGCAAUUUAAUCUAAAAUAUAUGGAAAUUUCAAAGAAAAAUGUGCGCGAAUGUAGUCAAAAAUACAUGUUUUAUCGGGGGAAAUUUGGCAAUUCUCGAAUGUUCAUUCGGCGUUCUUUCUUAGCACGGCAGUAUAAAGGAAGGACUUUUGUGAGUGAACCGAAACUUAUAGUUUCUCAUCGCAAAACGUAGCUCCAUUUCAAUUCGAUUGUUAAAUAUUUUAAGUAAACCUAGCCGCUGCUUCUGAUCAAAGAUUUUUAAUGCGGAAGCUCUCCCCUUUAAAUUUUUUAGUAAUUUGCAUUUUUAAUUUAGUGUUUUCUUCUUUCUUUUCAGGUUCUCUUUCCAGCCUUAAGUCGGCAUCUAUCACAUGGCUUCCCCUCAACAACAUCCGAGGCUGGACUCCACCGCAUCAACACUCCCCACUCUCUCGCUCCCUUUCUCUCUCUCUCUUUCUCGCACUUACACAUCCACUCGCACGCAAUAAGUUUAACUUGUUAAUGUUUAAUCAUAAUAUGUGUAUAUCAUAAUCAAUAGCUCAUAAGAAAUAAAUUUGGUUAAGGAAAAAAUAUGAUCUUGAUUGUUGUCUUUAUCCUCCAGCGAAAACUUUUAGAAAAAUAAAUUUCAUUGGUAAGCAUCAUAAACUUCGAAGUUUGAUAGGAAUUAUUUUGAAAUUUGAGAAAUAAAUGGAUUGCAUUUUGCAAAAAAAGAACCAGAAGCACUGCAGAGACGCUAAGAUUGUGCUACUUCAUCCUUUGCAAUAAAAUUACAGAAAUUAUGAAAUUUUUGUUUUAAAUUUACAGUUUUUAGCGAGUAAAAUAGAACUAUUCAUAGAUAAUCAGGUUUUUCUUCAAAGUCAAAAGAAGUUGUACAAUUUUAGCAACAUUGGAAUGCUCCUGGUUCCUUUUUGCAAAAUGCAAUCCAAAUGUUGGUGUUAAAGCAUUGGUGUCUAUGAAGAUCACAAUAAUUGAGCUACCAUUUUCAGAAGUUACGCACUCCACUACAGCACUUUGAAAGUUCUUUGUCACCCUCAUUUUUUCACAAGAGAAUCCCUUUGCGUCCUUUUGAUCAAAAUCUCAGACAGGUUUACUUAAAAUUUGAAGAAAAAAAAUCAUUGUAAUUUUCUCGGUAAAACUUUUCAAUGUGUUCGGGUAUAUUUAGAAAAUGAAAUAUCUACAGCAAAGUGACAUGCUGCUUUUCUCCUAUUUUAGUGAGUAAAUUGCAAGGUUGCAAAUGAUUGUCAAUAACAAUCACUAACUUGAAACAAUCAAUAUGAGUGCUCGUUAAAUUACGUUAAAUGAAAGAGUCAGAGCCAAAAGGGUGUAUUUGCGUUGCAACGUUGCGAAGUCUCACACAGUACCAAUUUAUUCUCUUAGGAACGAUUGCAAAAAAAAAAGUUUUAAAUGUUUUUGUAAAUUUUCUUCAUUUUUAACAGAAAUUUCCCGCGAUUUUCUGUGUGAAACAUUCGCCUUCCUAGUAAAAGUGAGUCAGCCUGACGUCAGGCCAUGUUUCAUAAACUACCUUGAGUCUGAUUGAUUCAGGCUGACAUCAGCAUGAAUCAGUCUGACUUAGGGUAGUUUUGAAACAUAGCCUGACGUCAGGCUAAUUUACUUUUACUAAGGAUUCUUGAAUAGAUGAUUAAUUUGUUAAGCGAAACUUUCC